GAUGAACGCUGGCGGCGUGCCUAAUACAUGCAAGUCGAGCGAACGGACGAGAAGCUUGCUUCUCUGAUGUUAGCGGCGGACGGGUGAGUAACACGUGGAUAACCUACCUAUAAGACUGGGAUAACUUCGGGAAACCGGAGCUAAUACCGGAUAAUAUUUUGAACCGCAUGGUUCAAAAGUGAAAGACGGUCUUGCUGUCACUUAUAGAUGGAUCCGCGCUGCAUUAGCUAGUUGGUAAGGUAACGGCUUACCAAGGCAACGAUGCAUAGCCGACCUGAGAGGGUGAUAGGCCACACUGGAACUGAGACACGGUCCAGACUCCUACGGGAGGCAGCAGUAGGGAAUCUUCCGCAAUGGGCGAAAGCCUGACGGAGCAACGCCGCGUGAGUGAUGAAGGUCUUCGGAUCGUAAAACUCUGUUAUUAGGGAAGAACAUAUGUGUAAGUAACUGUGCACAUCUUGACGGUACCUAAUCAGAAAGCCACGGCUAACUACGUGCCAGCAGCCGCGGUAAUACGUAGGUGGCAAGCGUUAUCCGGAAUUAUUGGGCGUAAAGCGCGCGUAGGCGGUUUUUUAAGUCUGAUGUGAAAGCCCACGGCUCAACCGUGGAGGGUCAUUGGAAACUGGAAAACUUGAGUGCAGAAGAGGAAAGUGGAAUUCCAUGUGUAGCGGUGAAAUGCGCAGAGAUAUGGAGGAACACCAGUGGCGAAGGCGACUUUCUGGUCUGUAACUGACGCUGAUGUGCGAAAGCGUGGGGAUCAAACAGGAUUAGAUACCCUGGUAGUCCACGCCGUAAACGAUGAGUGCUAAGUGUUAGGGGGUUUCCGCCCCUUAGUGCUGCAGCUAACGCAUUAAGCACUCCGCCUGGGGAGUACGACCGCAAGGUUGAAACUCAAAGGAAUUGACGGGGACCCGCACAAGCGGUGGAGCAUGUGGUUUAAUUCGAAGCAACGCGAAGAACCUUACCAAAUCUUGACAUCCUUUGACAACUCUAGAGAUAGAGCCUUCCCCUUCGGGGGACAAAGUGACAGGUGGUGCAUGGUUGUCGUCAGCUCGUGUCGUGAGAUGCUGGGUUAAGUCCCGCAACGAGCGCAACCCUUAAGCUUAGUUGCCAUCAUUAAGUUGGGCACUCUAAGUUGACUGCCGGUGACAAACCGGAGGAAGGUGGGGAUGACGUCAAAUCAUCAUGCCCCUUAUGAUUUGGGCUACACACGUGCUACAAUGGACAAUACAAAGGGCAGCGAAACCGCGAGGUCAAGCAAAUCCCAUAAAGUUGUUCUCAGUUCGGAUUGUAGUCUGCAACUCGACUACAUGAAGCUGGAAUCGCUAGUAAUCGUAGAUCAGCAUGCUACGGUGAAUACGUUCCCGGGUCU
rnacentral:rRNA from 1 species